GUGCUUACUUUGGUGGAACACAUUCUAAAACUAAAGCAACAUAAGGAACAUCUAGCAUGGCAUCUUUGCGAGGGUGCAUGUACCUUAGUGCAGUGU
rnacentral:snRNA from 1 species